UUAUUUUGAUGCAGACGGAUCAUUUCUCAAGGUGGAGAAAUUUGGAGCAUCAUUCGUUGCACAGGAAUUUCGAGUCAAGGUGGAGAUUGUUAAAUAUGUGUCUCAAAAUUUGGCAAGAAUUUGGCAAUCUUGGGUUUUGGAAAGAAAUCUUGUUGGAGCCAUAUGGUUUUAGGAAAUAAUCAAUAGGAUUCAAGAAAUAUGGAAAGAAUCAAUUGGAAUCCAAGAUUAGGAAGGAAACAAUUU
rnacentral:lncRNA from 1 species